UAUAAAUCUCUAAUCACUAUAUGCUUUCAAAUCCCAAUUGUCGUUUCGUCUCACCUUUUACUCUGUUGUCACUCUCAUCCCCACAGCCACCGCCUCCUUCUCUGCACCCUCCGCCUCUUCGUCACUACCAUCUCUGUCUAUCAUGCCUUCUCCCUUUCUCUCAAUUCGGUUCCUCUUUCUUGUCAUUGGCCACAUGUUUUGUCCAUUGACUAGAGCGGAGGAUUCUUGUUAGUAGCAUUGUUUGCAACACGAGAGUCAAGGAAAUGUUCAACAAUUUUGGUGACUUGUUCUGUACCAUCACGGGGUUUGACUCCUUCUCCUUGCAACCGAAUGUUGGUGCUGCUGGAGAAUAUGUUGGACUUAUGGUUAUCCGUGCAUAUCAUCUGGCAAGAGGUGACCAUUACAGCAAUGUUUGCAUUAUACUUGUCUGGGCAUAUGGUACAAGGUGCAAGCGCUGCAAUGUGUGGAAUGAAAAUUGUCUCCCUUGAACUGAUGCCAAGGGAAACAUUAAUAUAGAAGAGUUGAAGAAGGCUGCUGAAAAACACAAGGACAACUUAUCUGCAGUUAUGGUACAACUGCAGUUAAUUGAGGUAUUGUCAAACCUAAGCAUUGUUUACAUUAGUUUGAUCUUGAUUUAAUUGCAGGAGAAACAUCAAUUUGGCUACCCAUGGCCACCCAAACUCUAAAAUCUAGAUAACUAGAUAUAGAAGAACAAUUUUUGAAAAGUUAAGCAUAUCUUUUCCCGUGGAUAUCUUUUCAAUAUUCAAUAACAUCUAAUAUCUUUCAUUUAUUGCAUUGUUUCAGUAAUGGCUUCUUGGUUACCGUGUAAUGAGAUGAUGCUCAUUUGCUUUAUUGACGUUUGCUUGGUUGAUUUUGAUGCAAUAUAUGUUGACAAUAUUUA